UACGUAGGGGGCAAGCGUUGUCCGGAUUUAUUGGGCGUAAAGAGCGUGUAGGCGGCCAGAUAGGUCUGUUGUGAAAACUCGAGGCUCAACCUCGAGACGCCGAUGGAAACCAUUUGGCUAGAGUCCGGAAGAGGAGAGUGGAAUUCCUGGUGUAGCGGUGAAAUGCGCAGAUAUCAGGAAGAACACCGGUGGCGAAGGCGGUUCUCUGGGCAUUACCUGACGCUGAGGAGCGAAAGUGUGGGGAGCGAACAGG
rnacentral:rRNA from 1 species